AGAGUUUGAUCCUGGCUCAGAACGAACGCUGGCGGCGUGCUUAACACAUGCAAGUCGAACGCGAAAAUUUUCCUCGGAAAGUGAGUAGAGUGGCGCACGGGUGAGUAACGCGUAAGUUAUCUACCUCGGCAUCCGGAAUAACUCACCGAAAGGUGUGCUAAUACCGGAUACGUUGAGUAAUCAAGAAAGGUGGCCUCUGAAUAUGCUACUGUGCUGAGAUGAGCUUGCGUACCAUUAGCUAGUUGGUAGGGUAAUGGCCUACCAAGGCAACGAUGGUUAGCGGGUCUGAGAGGAUGAUCCGCCACACUGGAACUGAAACACGGACCAGACUCCUACGGGAGGCAGCAGUGAGGAAUAUUGCGCAAUGGGGGAAACCCUGACGCAGCGACGCCGCGUGGAUGAUGAAGGCCUUCGGGUCGUAAAAUCCUGUCAGAUGGAAAGAAAUGCAUGGUGGCUAAUACCUGCCAUGUUUGACGGUACCAUCGAAGGAAGCACCGGCUAACUCCGUGCCAGCAGCCGCGGUAAUACGGAGGGUGCAAGCGUUGUUCGGAAUUACUGGGCGUAAAGCGCGCGUAGGCGGUUUGCUAAGUCAGAUGUGAAAGCCCAUGGCUCAACCAUGGACGUGCAUUUGAAACUGGCAGACUUGAGUAUUGGAGGGGGUGGUGGAAUUCCCGGUGUAGAGGUGAAAUUCGUAGAUAUCGGGAGGAAUACCGGUGGCGAAGGCGACCACCUGGCCAAAUACUGACGCUGAGGUGCGAAAGCGUGGGGAGCAAACAGGAUUAGAUACCCUGGUAGUCC
rnacentral:rRNA from 1 species